GUGUUCUGUUGAUGUUUACAUGAUCGAAAUAACUUGAACACAAACAAACAAAGAGGAAGACCGCACCGGAAGGAAAAAACUACAAGUCCCAGCAUCCUCUGUGUUUAGGGCGCAGUAGUGAAAGUGAAAGCAGGAGGAGGAAGGUGGAGCUGAGGCAGACUAACUCCACCCUGACAUCAAGAAGAUGGAGGAAGAGGAUGGAGCAGAAUCUGCAGCAUCCAGCUGUGUGUCUGUGAGGAGUGACGGGUCCAAAGGAGAACCUCCAAAGUUCAGUAGUGAACCUGCAGCAACAAUAGCUUCUGCACAGUGUGGAGAAAGAUCCAGAAGCAGAGCUGGACUGCAGACAGCCAGUCAGAGCAGCUGUGUACAAACAGAUGUUGGUCUGCUGGAGGUUUUAGAUGAACAUAAGAUCAGUCUGAGGAGGAG